GAGUUUGAUUAUGGCUCAGGAUGAACGCUAGCGAUAGGCUUAACACAUGCAAGUCGAGGGGCAGCAUGAACUUAGCUUGCUAAGUUUGAUGGCGACCGGCGCACGGGUGCGUAACGCGUAUGCAACUUGCCUUACAGAGGGGGAUAACCCGUUGAAAGACGGACUAAUACCGCAUAUACUUAUUCGGUUGCAUGACCGGGCAAGGAAAUAUUUAUAGCUGUAAGAUAGGCAUGCGUCCCAUUAGCUGGUUGGUGAGGUAACGGCUCACCAAGGCAACGAUGGGUAGGGGAACUGAGAGGUUUAUCCCCCACACUGGUACUGAGACACGGACCAGACUCCUACGGGAGGCAGCAGUGAGGAAUAUUGGUCAAUGGGCGAGAGCCUGAACCAGCCAAGUCGCGUGAAGGAAGACUGUCCUAAGGAUUGUAAACUUCUUUUAUACGGGAAUAACGGGCGAUACGUGUAUUGCUGUGAAUUACCUAGAUAGUUC
rnacentral:rRNA from 1 species